AAUUUUAAUCAUAACCAUUAAACUCAUCCGAUCAAUGGCUGAGAUUAAAUCCACCAUUUAUCACCCUUUUAAACAAAAUUCAACUCAAACCCUAAUUCAUUUUUCUCCAAAACAGCCGCUGUCAUCUCCCUCUUCCUCUCUCUAUCAACGACAACCAUGGCUGCCGCAGGUCACCCCACCGUCGACACCAUCGGCGAACUCAAUCGAAGGAACCAACGUCAAACCGCCGCCAACUUCCUCCGUUCUCCCCUCCAGCGCCGCAAGCCGUCGAUGCUCCAUCCGCCAGCCAUCUCCACCGGCGAAACCCCCUCAAAACAACGAUCCACCAACGCCUGCAGCACCACCAUCCGGUGAAGUAUCCGUCCACCAGCCAGCGCCGCCCUCGCGGCUCCUUCAGCCGCCGCUUCCCCUCCAACAGCCGCGAAAAUUGUACUUGAAAUGUGAACUUGCAGUUUGAUUUUAGUAACCUGUGGUCACUUGACAAGUGAAUUAGUUACUUCAAAAUGUUUAAGUGGAGAUGGAACUUGAUUACAGCUGGAUAUAUCAACACGAAAUAGUGAUAAAUAGAAUGGGUGAGGCUGAGAAUGAAGAUGCGGAUGAUGAGUUGUUGUUUUUAGUCUUUUGUAUGUUUUAUAGUUUGGAUUUGUAACCUCAAUAAAUUUUGUAAAUAAUUUGAUUUUUAAUGUUUCUGUUCU